GGGGAUGUAAAGGUUUCGACUAGGAAAUCAAGUCUUGGUUGCAUGCAGAGGAUUUCGGUUGGCCUCUUAAAAAAACCGGAAAAACAAUAAAUGUCGCAAAAAACAACGACAACGUAAUUCCUCUUUAUAACGAAGUGGAGCUACAAGCGGCAGCAUAAUAGUUAAUUCUAUUUGCUACCCCAGUAAUUCUUAAUUGGACCAAGGAUGAGAAAUUACUGUUAUUUACUUGGUGUGGAUAAAGUUUCUCGUUCGUCUUUAGGGGGCUUUAUUCGAGAUUAAUGAAGACGUUUUACUUUCAGUGUCGUGUUCUGCAUAGAAAGUAAAUAAUUUUCAGAACACUAAGCAUGUAGUGAUCAUGAUGUAGUUUGCCAAGGACGAGAGUUCGAUUCUCUCCAUCUCCAA
rfam:Candidatus Rubidus massiliensis genome assembly, contig: CONTIG000001